rnacentral:rRNA from 1 species
GGUUAAGCGACUAAGCGUACACGGUGGAUGCCCUGGCAGUCAGAGGCGAUGAAGGACGUGCUAAUCUGCGAUAAGCGUCGGUAAGGUGAUAUGAACCGUUAUAACCGGCGAUUUCCGAAUGGGGAAACCCAGUGUGAUUCGUCACACUAUCAUUAACUGAAUCCAUAGGUUAAUGAGGCGAACCGGGGGAACUGAAACAUCUAAGUACCCCGAGGAAAAGAAAUCAACCGAGAUUCCCCCAGUAGCGGCGAGCGAACGGGGAGCAGCCCAGAGCCUGAAUCAGUGUGUGUGUUAGUGGAAGCGUCUGGAAAGGCGCGCGAUACAGGGUGACAGCCCCGUACACAAAAAUGCACAUACUGUGAGCUCGAUGAGUAGGGCGGGACACGUGGUAUCCUGUCUGAAUAUGGGGGGACCAUCCUCCAAGGCUAAAUACUCCUGACUGACCGAUAGUGAACCAGUACCGUGAGGGAAAGGCGAAAAGAACCCCGGCGAGGGGAGUGAAAAAGAACCUGAAACCGUGUACGUACAAGCAGUGGGAGCACAGAGCAAUCUGUGUGACUGCGUACCUUUUGUAUAAUGGGUCAGCGACUUAUAUUCUGUAGCAAGGUUAACCGAAUAGGGGAGCCGAAGGGAAACCGAGUCUUAACUGGGCGUUAAGUUGCAGGGUAUAGACCCGAAACCCGGUGAUCUAGCCAUGGGCAGGUUGAAGGUUGGGUAACACUAACUGGAGGACCGAACCGACUAAUGUUGAAAAAUUAGCGGAUGACUUGUGGCUGGGGGUGAAAGGCCAAUCAAACCGGGAGAUAGCUGGUUCUCCCCGAAAGCUAUUUAGGUAGCGCCUCGUGAAUUCAUCUCCGGGGGUAGAGCACUGUUUCGGCAAGGGGGUCAUCCCGACUUACCAACCCGAUGCAAACUGCGAAUACCGGAGAAUGUUAUCACGGGAGACACACGGCGGGUGCUAACGUCCGUCGUGAAGAGGGAAACAACCCAGACCGCCAGCUAAGGUCCCAAAGUCAUGGUUAAGUGGGAAACGAUGUGGGAAGGCCCAGACAGCCAGGAUGUUGGCUUAGAAGCAGCCAUCAUUUAAAGAAAGCGUAAUAGCUCACUGGUCGAGUCGGCCUGCGCGGAAGAUGUAACGGGGCUAAACCAUGCACCGAAGCUGCGGCAGCGACGCUUAUGCGUUGUUGGGUAGGGGAGCGUUCUGUAAGCCUGCGAAGGUGUGCUGUGAGGCAUGCUGGAGGUAUCAGAAGUGCGAAUGCUGACAUAAGUAACGAUAAAGCGGGUGAAAAGCCCGCUCGCCGGAAGACCAAGGGUUCCUGUCCAACGUUAAUCGGGGCAGGGUGAGUCGACCCCUAAGGCGAGGCCGAAAGGCGUAGUCGAUGGGAAACAGGUUAAUAUUCCUGUACUUGGUGUUACUGCGAAGGGGGGACGGAGAAGGCUAUGUUGGCCGGGCGACGGUUGUCCCGGUUUAAGCGUGUAGGCUGGUUUUCCAGGCAAAUCCGGAAAACUAAGGCUGAGGCGUGAUGACGAGGCACUACGGUGCUGAAGCAACAAAUGCCCUGCUUCCAGGAAAAGCCUCUAAGCAUCAGGUAACAUCAAAUCGUACCCCAAACCGACACAGGUGGUCAGGUAGAGAAUACCAAGGCGCUUGAGAGAACUCGGGUGAAGGAACUAGGCAAAAUGGUGCCGUAACUUCGGGAGAAGGCACGCUGAUAUGUAGGUGAAGCGACUUGCUCGUGGAGCUGAAAUCAGUCGAAGAUACCAGCUGGCUGCAACUGUUUAUUAAAAACACAGCACUGUGCAAACACGAAAGUGGACGUAUACGGUGUGACGCCUGCCCGGUGCCGGAAGGUUAAUUGAUGGGGUCAGCGCAAGCGAAGCUCUUGAUCGAAGCCCCGGUAAACGGCGGCCGUAACUAUAACGGUCCUAAGGUAGCGAAAUUCCUUGUCGGGUAAGUUCCGACCUGCACGAAUGGCGUAAUGAUGGCCAGGCUGUCUCCACCCGAGACUCAGUGAAAUUGAACUCGCUGUGAAGAUGCAGUGUACCCGCGGCAAGACGGAAAGACCCCGUGAACCUUUACUAUAGCUUGACACUGAACAUUGAGCCUUGAUGUGUAGGAUAGGUGGGAGGCUUUGAAGUGUGGACGCCAGUCUGCAUGGAGCCGACCUUGAAAUACCACCCUUUAAUGUUUGAUGUUCUAACGUUGACCCGUAAUCCGGGUUGCGGACAGUGUCUGGUGGGUAGUUUGACUGGGGCGGUCUCCUCCUAAAGAGUAACGGAGGAGCACGAAGGUUGGCUAAUCCUGGUCGGACAUCAGGAGGUUAGUGCAAUGGCAUAAGCCAGCUUGACUGCGAGCGUGACGGCGCGAGCAGGUGCGAAAGCAGGUCAUAGUGAUCCGGUGGUUCUGAAUGGAAGGGCCAUCGCUCAACGGAUAAAAGGUACUCCGGGGAUAACAGGCUGAUACCGCCCAAGAGUUCAUAUCGACGGCGGUGUUUGGCACCUCGAUGUCGGCUCAUCACAUCCUGGGGCUGAAGUAGGUCCCAAGGGUAUGGCUGUUCGCCAUUUAAAGUGGUACGCGAGCUGGGUUUAGAACGUCGUGAGACAGUUCGGUCCCUAUCUGCCGUGGGCGCUGGAGAAUUGAGGGGGGCUGCUCCUAGUACGAGAGGACCGGAGUGGACGCAUCACUGGUGUUCGGGUUGUCAUGCCAAUGGCACUGCCCGGUAGCUAAAUGCGGAAGAGAUAAGUGCUGAAAGCAUCUAAGCACGAAACUUGCCCCGAGAUGAGUUCUCCCUGACUCCUUGAGAGUCCUGAAGGAACGUUGAAGACGACGACGUUGAUAGGCCGGGUGUGUAAGCGCAGCGAUGCGUUGAGCUAACCGGUACUAAUGAACCGUGAGGCUUAACCUU